GAGGUUGGAAGAUGGACGCUAUUUUUGUGAAUCGAGUCAGGUCUGGAAAGAAGCAGCUCUAGCAAUGUUAUGGUGGGUUGUUUUUUUCAGCCUCUCG
rnacentral:SRP_RNA from 2 species